CCUACGGGAGGCAGCAGUGGGGAAUAUUGCACAAUGGGGGAAACCCUGAUGCAGCAACGCCGCGUGAGUGAUGAAGGCCUUCGGGUUGUAAAGCUCUGUCUUCAGGGACGAUAAUGACGGUUGCUGAGGAGGAAGCAACGGCUAACUCCGUGCCAGCAGCCGCGGUAAUACGGCGGUGGCGAGCGUUGACCGGAUUUACUGGGCGGAAAGGGAGCGUAGGCGGACUUUUAAGUGAGAUGUGAAAUACUCGCGCUCAACUUGGGAGCUGCAUUUCAAACUGGAAGUCUAGAGUGCAGGAGAGGAGAAUGGAAUUCCUAGUGUAGCGGUGAAAUGCGUAGAGAUUAGGAAGAACAUCAGUGGCGAAGGCGAUUCUCUGGAAUGUAACUGACGCUGAGGCUCGAAAGCGUGGGGAGCAAACAGGAUUAGAUACCCCAGUAGUC
rnacentral:rRNA from 1 species